UCAGAGUCAGCCGAGCAAACAAUCAACAUUACUUUGACCAAAAUGUACCUAGCUGGAAAUAAUAUAAAACAAGAAAGAAAAGCAACAACAACAACAACAAGCCAAAUAAAUAAAUAAGUUCGCACGAUGGGAGGAAAAAAUUGCGCCAAAUUAAUGAAAAGCGCAAAUGACAGUGCAAAAAAUACAAAAUACAAAAAAAGUGCUGUGAAUUUAAAGCGGCGUAAAAAAUGUGCGACAGGAAAAAGCAGAAAACGAAAAACUCUUUGAAAUUAAAUUUCGAAAUGCGAAAGACAACCAGACAAACAAAAUGCGAAGCUAACGAAAAAGAAAGUACGCCGUGCACUUUGGCCAAAAUAGUCGGUGAAAAGCCAGGCUCCGUCCGGGAAGGGGAGAAGGGGGGAUGAAUGUAUACAAAUUCCGGAAAACGCAAAUUUAUUUCAGCAUUUUUAUACUCAGCUCAGAUAAAGCACAGAAAACAGAAAAAAAUAAACAAAAAAAAAAGUGGAAAAAUGCGCAUUAAAUAAGUAAUAAAGAAAUCAAGAGAAGUUAAGUUAAAAAAUAAAAUCAGUUGGUUGUCGGACGGCGCUAACAAAGUUGCCACUUGUCAGACGUCAGUUGUCAGUUGUCAGUAAAUGUUUAUGAGUUAAUCAACUUGUAAUGACCAAAGGAGGCCAUGAACAACUGGGACCGCUUCAGGGUCGGACGGAAAGUCACUUAAAGUGCGGGCAGUGAUGAAGAAAAGUGUGUGGGGGGAGCGGGAAAAAAGUGUGUACGCAGUGCAGACAGCGAGUGAAUGCAAAGAGUGAGUGCGAGCAGACACAAGUCCGACUGUUGCAGAGCAGCAGCACAAAAAGCCAAGACCAAAAGACCAAGAGCUGCAGAUGAUGAAAAACAACAGCAGCAACAUCAACAUCAACAUCAGCUGAAAUGAGCGACAAAUAAACAAAAGUAAAAGUUUUAUCCAAGAGCGGAAAUGCGCAAAGCGCGUUGUUAACACGAAAUGUGGCAAAGGCAACACAAGGCAGAGGCAAAGGCAGAAACAGAGGCAGAGGCAACUAAAAAGUGCCACAGAUAUACCAUUUAUGGAAUUUCUGAAAUGCCACCCGGCAAUUUGCACUUUUACAGAUGUAACUGGCCAGCAAAUUGCAGGCAAGCAUCUAGAGAGGACUAUCUCACAUCUCUUGUGGCAUGCAACACUCCUACUUCAUUUCGGGUAAUUUCACACGGAAGCAGCAAACGAUCUUAAUUGACAAACUCGUGUUUUUCUACUUUGAUAGUUAGCAACUACUGGAAAAUAAUAUGAAAAAUGUAUUCUUAAAAUCAGUUUAAUAUUAAACAAUACAAUUUUCAGUUCACUGCUCUAGAAUUAGUAUUGAUAGGAGACUUUAAAAUCAAAAUUAAACACAUUACUUAUUCCAUUGAUGGGUUCAAGUUCAAAAGCAUACCUAAUCUGAGAACAAUAUAUAUGAGUACAUCAUUCAA